AGCACGCCGCGUGAGUGAUGAAGGUUUUCGGAUCGUAAAGCUCUGUUGUUAGGGAAGAACAAGUACCGUUCGAAUAGGGCGGUACCUUGACGGUACCUAACCAGAAAGCCACGGCUAACUACGUGCCAGCAGCCGCGGUAAUACGUAGGUGGCAAGCGUUGUCCGGAAUUAUUGGGCGUAAAGGGCUCGCAGGCGGUUUCUUAAGUCUGAUGUGAAAGCCCCCGGCUCAACCGGGGAGGGUCAUUGGAAACUGGGGAACUUGAGUGCAGAAGAGGAGAGUGGAAUUCCACGUGUAGCGGUGAAAUGCGUAGAGAUGUGGAGGAACACCAGUGGCGAAGGCGACUCUCUGGUCUGUAACUGACGCUGAGGAGCGAAAGCGUGGGGAGCGAACAGGAUUAGAUACCCUGGUAGUCCACGCCGUAAACGAUGAGUGCUAAGUGUUAGGGGGUUUCCGCCCCUUAGUGCUGCAGCUAACGCAUUAAGCACUCCGCCUGGGGAGA
rnacentral:rRNA from 1 species